GUAGAUUUUGUACAGGGUAGUAAUUCUGGAUAAAUAGCCAGAUUAUGACUUUCAGAACAGGUUCUGUCCUACAGACCUGUGUACUGAUCAACAGAGAAGAUCUCCUGGAGAAAGAACAUUUAAUUAAAUCUCUUUAAGUCAUGAAGCCACCUAUCUGUUUCUAUUUAAAGGCAUAUUGCAUCUCUUACUUCCUUUUGGCCAAAGGACAAGAGGAAAUAAAAAGGAAAGGAAGCUACCUUUCCAGCAACUACCAUCUGUAACAAAAGGAGAGAUUUUAUGGAAGAAGAUUUAAGAAGAACAUUAGGGUUCCACUAAGUAUGCUGACACAAUCAGAACAGUAACCAUACCAGUAGGAUGGUUUGGUAUCUGGCAGAUUAUUAAACUCCUUUCAGAGGAGCUGGAGUAACUGCAUGAAGCUUCUUCUCCUAUAUUGAAUGAUAGCGUCGAGACUAAGACGGCCAUGAAACAAGAAGGUGCUGGCUGUGCAGGAUGAGAGCCAUUGGAUGUUUCCUCCAUUCACCUACCCUCUUUUUUCCUUCCGUCUUCACCUCAGUUGGAGGACUAGAGAGGCUGAGCAGUAAAUUCUGAGUCCCAGUGCCAGGGAUUAUGUGAAGAGCCUUAUAGCCAUGUUCCAUGCCUAUGGAGGGAGCCAUUUGGAUAUCAAGGGGGGGCAGAAUUUUCAGCAGGACUUACCAAGAAAGUUCCAGAAAAUCUUGUUGAUUUUAGAAAUCUACAGCUGAUUUUUUUUUUAAUUAACAAAGGGAUCUGAAUAUCCAGCUGUGAUCUCUUUUGCUUUUCAAUUUUCCACCAGAACUCAACUGUAAAUUGCCUGGUUCCUAAAGCAAGAUGUAAUUCAACUGGUUCUUUCAACCAUCCUGUGAUAGACCCAGUGGGGAAGGCCCUUGAAGAUUAUUUUAGUAAAUCUGUAAUUCACUGACCUUAGCAAGUUUGCUCUAAUCUCCUUGUUUCUCAUUUUCUUUCCCAUUCUUCUUCAUUUUCUAGAGUAUUUGUGAAAAUAAUGAGAUGAUAGGUUAUACAGAAAGUGUUUUACAUUCUUGGGAAAAGGGUAUGAUCUGUGAAGUGAGUAGAAUGGUAGCCCCACAAAGGAAGCAUCCACCCAGAACCUGUGAAUGAGACUUUAUUUUCAAAAAGCGUCUUUGUACAUAUGAGUAAGGAUCUUGAGAUCAUCUUGGAUUCUCCUGUGAGCCUUAAAUCUAAUGAAGAGGAGGGGACAUGGAGAAGAUCAUGUGAAGAUGGAGGCAGAGGUUGGAGUUCUACAGCCACAAGCCAUGGGGCCUGGAGCCACCAGAAGCUGGGAAAGGCAAGGCAAGAUUCUCUCUGGCCCUCAGAGAAUGUGGCUCGACGGUCACCUUGAUUUUGGACUUCUUGUUCCUAGAACUAUGAGAGAAUAAAUCUCUUCUUUUAAGCCCUCAAGUUUAUGGUAAAUUUUCAUGGCAGACACAGGAAACUAAUACGAGGGGUCCUAAGUUACCAUUGUCAUCUGACAUAAGGUAAUGAGUAAGCAUAUGAUAAUUACUGGAAACAUUGUAAAAUUGCUGCUAUAAAAGUGGUAUGAUGUAUGGCAGGUUUUCAACUGGGGGUGACUUUGUCCCUAAAGACAUUUGGCAACAUCUAGAGACCUUUCUGUUGGCACAACUGGGGAGAGGCACUGCUGGUCUCUAGUGGGGAAGCCAGAAUGCCACAAAACAUUUGGAAAUGCACAGGACAACUCCAUGCCCCCCCCUCCCAGUAAAGAACCACCCCACUUACAAGAUCGAGGGUGCUGAGAUUGAGAAAUCCUAACAUCGGAGGAAACUUAGCAUUCUGAGAUUAAAACCUUAGCUCUGCCAUGAAUAUGGGAGCAAGAUGAUUUACUCCAGGUAGUAAACCCCUUGGAGCUUUAGUCUUCUCAUCUGUAAACCACUGUGAUAUUGACACCUGCCAGAGCUUUGUCAAGUUCCAAUGAAAUCAUGUUCGUCAAAGAAUUUUAUCUUUAAGAGUUCUUUAAUGGUAAUGAAGAGGAUUUCAUUACUAUUCCUGUUUACUUCUUUCAUACAAACAAAAACAAACCUUUGAUUUUUAAUUAAUAUAGCUAGGAAGUCCACAAUGAAUGGAUUCCCUGAGCUCCGGGGGACUCACUUUUAUAUGUUUAUG
rnacentral:lncRNA from 1 species